AUUGAACGCUGGCGGCAUGCUUUACGCAUGCAAGUCGAACGGCAGCACGGACUUCGGUCUGGUGGCGAGUGGCGAACGGGUGAGUAAUAUAUCGGAACGUGCCCAGUCGUGGGGGAUAACGCAGCGAAAGCUGUGCUAAUACCGCAUACGAUCUACGGAUGAAAGCGGGGGAUCGCAAGACCUCGCGCGAUUGGAGCGGCCGAUAUCAGAUUAGCUAGUUGGUGGGGUAAAGGCCUACCAAGGCGACGAUCUGUAGCUGGUCUGAGAGGACGACCAGCCACACUGGAACUGAGACACGGUCCAGACUCCUACGGGAGGCAGCAGUGGGGAAUUUUGGACAAUGGGCGCAAGCCUGAUCCAGCAAUGCCGCGUGCAGGAUGAAGGCCUUCGGGUUGUAAACUGCUUUUGUACGGAACGAAACGGUGAGCUCUAAUACAGUUUGCUAAUGACGGCACCGUAAGAAUAAGCACCGGCUAACUACGUGCCAGCCGCCGCCGUAACAC
rnacentral:rRNA from 1 species